UGGGCCUUUGAUGAGACUUUGGGGAUGUGUUCUUAUUUAAUUCUUACAACUCAAAGGAAGUAGAUGUUUCUGUAUACUACCCUAACACAUCAAAAAUCCAAGACUCAAAAACCGAGUUUAAAUAACUUGCUCAAAUACACAAUAUAAUGAGUUGUGAAGUUGAAAUUCCAACCUGUCCAUUGAGACCAACAGGAAGGGGUAAAAGCCCAGCAGAAAGCCCUCAGAGAAGAAGAAACUGAACAAAGUGUGCAUUUUCUUAAAAGGUAGCUGAGGAAGAAUGGAUGAUUC